CUAAGUACCCCGAGGAAAAGAAAUCAACCGAGAUUCCCCCAGUAGCGGCGAGCGAACGGGGAGGAGCCCAGAGCCUGAAUCAGCAUGUGUGUUAGUGGAAGCGUCUGGAAAGGCGCGCGAUACAGGGUGACAGCCCCGUACACAAAAGCGCAUGUGCUGUGAGCUCGAUGAGUAGGGCGGGACACGUGGUAUCCUGUCUGAAUAUGGGGGGACCAUCCUCCAAGGCUAAAUACUCCUGACUGACCGAUAGUGAACCAGUACCGUGAGGGAAAGGCGAAAAGAACCCCGGCGAGGGGAGUGAAAAAGAACCUGAAACCGUGUACGUACAAGCAGUGGGAGCCCCACCACUAAGCCAGUGGUGAACUCCACAUCCGCAUCCUUUGCUGAGGAUACGGUUAACGGAGCGAAAGCGACGUUCAACCGCAAAACAAGCAGAGGGGGCUUAGUGGUGGGGUGACUGCGUACCUUUUGUAUAAUGGGUCAGCGACUUAUAUUCUGUAGCAAGGUUAACCG
rnacentral:rRNA from 2 species